rnacentral:rRNA from 1 species
CAAUUUAAACAACGAAGAGUUUGAUCCUGGCUCAGGAUGAACGCUAGCGACAGGCUUAACACAUGCAAGUCGAGGGGCAGCACAGGUAGCAAUACCGGGUGGCGACCGGCGCACGGGUGAGUAACGCGUAUGCAACUUGCCUAUCAGAGGGGGAUAACCCGGCGAAAGUCGGACUAAUACCGCAUGAAGCAGGGAUCCCGCAUGGGAAUAUUUGCUAAAGAUUCAUCGCUGAUAGAUAGGCAUGCGUUCCAUUAGGCAGUUGGCGGGGUAACGGCCCACCAAACCGACGAUGGAUAGGGGUUCUGAGAGGAAGGUCCCCCACAUUGGUACUGAGACACGGACCAAACUCCUACGGGAGGCAGCAGUGAGGAAUAUUGGUCAAUGGCCGAGAGGCUGAACCAGCCAAGUCGCGUGAGGGAUGAAGGUUCUAUGGAUCGUAAACCUCUUUUAUAAGGGAAUAAAGUGCGGGACGUGUCCCGUUUUGUAUGUACCUUAUGAAUAAGGAUCGGCUAACUCCGUGCCAGCAGCCGCGGUAAUACGGAGGAUCCGAGCGUUAUCCGGAUUUAUUGGGUUUAAAGGGUGCGUAGGCGGCCUUUUAAGUCAGCGGUGAAAGUCUGUGGCUCAACCAUAGAAUUGCCGUUGAAACUGGGGGGCUUGAGUAUGUUUGAGGCAGGCGGAAUGCGUGGUGUAGCGGUGAAAUGCAUAGAUAUCACGCAGAACCCCGAUUGCGAAGGCAGCCUGCCAAGCCAUUACUGACGCUGAUGCACGAAAGCGUGGGGAUCAAACAGGAUUAGAUACCCUGGUAGUCCACGCAGUAAACGAUGAUCACUAGCUGUUUGCGAUACACUGUAAGCGGCACAGCGAAAGCGUUAAGUGAUCCACCUGGGGAGUACGCCGGCAACGGUGAAACUCAAAGGAAUUGACGGGGGCCCGCACAAGCGGAGGAACAUGUGGUUUAAUUCGAUGAUACGCGAGGAACCUUACCCGGGUUUGAACGCAUUCGGACCGAGGUGGAAACACCUUUUCUAGCAAUAGCCGUUUGCGAGGUGCUGCAUGGUUGUCGUCAGCUCGUGCCGUGAGGUGUCGGCUUAAGUGCCAUAACGAGCGCAACCCUUGCCACUAGUUACUAACAGGUUAGGCUGAGGACUCUGGUGGGACUGCCAGCGUAAGCUGCGAGGAAGGCGGGGAUGACGUCAAAUCAGCACGGCCCUUACAUCCGGGGCGACACACGUGUUACAAUGGCGUGGACAAAGGGAGGCCACCUGGCGACAGGGAGCGAAUCCCCAAACCACGUCUCAGUUCGGAUCGGAGUCUGCAACCCGACUCCGUGAAGCUGGAUUCGCUAGUAAUCGCGCAUCAGCCAUGGCGCGGUGAAUACGUUCCCGGGCCUUGUACACACCGCCCGUCAAGCCAUGGGAGCCGGGGGUACCUGAAGUCCGUAACCGAAAGGAUCGGCCUAGGGUAAAACUGGUGACUGGGGCUAAGUCGUAACAAGGUAGCCGUACCGGAAGGUGCGGCUGGAACACCUCCUUUCU